CUUAAGUAUAACCUGCUUAGUCUGUAUGAUGUUGCUCGUGUGUAUGUUUCCAGAGCUGACCAUUUGGUAUUGGAUAACCAUUUAGUGUAUUCUUACCUGGGGAAGACUAUUUUCCCAACUUCUAGCAUUCCUUAGCUGCCUGUAGAUCUUUGUAUAGUGUGGAGGCCUCAUGUGCUUGCACUCUGUGUCCUUGUUCCGCCCAUGGGCAGGCAGUCAUUUGGUGAGACGUUAUGGGUGUAGCUUCUGACUUUCAUCAGAGAUAUAAUCUCAUAGCAAACUCCCUGAUCUUCUUCUGCCUCUUACAAUCUUCCUGUCUCCUGUUCGUCAAUUAAGAGGUGUGGCAGUUGUUUUGUAGAUCUCCCUGUUGGCACUGUGUUGUGUGUAAUUUUAAAAAACACGCUUCUGCCUUCUCGGUAGCUCUGCCUGUGUCCGGGCUGGGCUGCGAGACCAGCCACCGCCAGUCUCACCAGUCUCGCUCAGCUCCACUGCCACCCUGCCCCCCCUCCAGCUUUGAUAGCUCCCCCAGUCCUUCAUGGCUAGCUUCACCAAACCUCCCACAACUGCCCCAGCUGCCCUCUUUCUCCUCAUGCCCACCUAAGCUCAGCGGUUGGGAAACACUAGGCAGUUUUAUUAUUUUAAAACUAUUUUAAGUUACUACCCAGUAACUCAAAGGCUGGGUGAAGAAUUUCUUGCCUAAUCUUAUCAACUAAAUCCCUCUGUCCUCCUUGGCCCCCACUCGAGGCGGAGGCUACAGACUCUAGGGGCCCUAAGCCCUAAUGUCUGCAGCUUCCUCCUCACUAAAAGCCUGGUCUCUUCUCCCUCGCCAUCUUUUCUUUUCCUCCUGGGAUCUGGAAGUUCCACCUUUUCCCCUUCGCCCAGCAAUUGCUUUCCACCUCCUUUGUUGACACAAUUAAGAACCAAUUAGGGAAUCAACACCUCCCUCUAGGGACUAGGGUCUAUAACUCUGUGUUUUGAUUGGCUGUGGUUUUCUGUAGUGGUCUCCAUAUGUUGCAAGGACUGGUUUCCUUGAUGAGGGGCGAAGACUGCACUUAUCUGUGGGUCUAAGGACAAUGUUUGGAUUUUGGUUAGGGACUGUGCUGGUUUAAUAAAGUGGUGUUGGAGUGGUUAUAGGUUCUCCAAAGUCCAUGACUUGACCAGCACUGCGUAGUUGGGAAGGUUUCCAGUACCAGGCAUGGCCUCCCUUUUGUCAAGAGGGUUUUAGUUCCAAUACACAGUAGGUGGCUAACUCCAAGGUGUGUAUGCCACUACUAUACCGCACCCUUGGUGUUUGCUGUCAUGCCAUGCUGGUCAUUGUAGUUCACGGGCAUCGCAGCUGGGUAGGACUGUUGGCUGCCUCCCUCCUUUGGAAGCGUGCGUGGUGCCUGUUGGAACCAGGAGAGCUCUUCCGCAGGGAGGGGCUGUUCAAAUCAGUUCCAGCUCAGAGACCUCAGCCAUGUUUUUAAUAUGCAUGGUGUCUUCAGCACUAGGGGUUCACCUUCUACCUCUGGAGGGACAACAAAGGGAAACAGCAACAAGCUGUGUGUUUUGUGACUCUUGGACAGCCCUGACCACGAACUCUAAAGAAGGCUUCUCGUUUCUGGCAUAGGAAUUUUUGUUAGGUAGACUUUGGCUUUUGAGGGGAAGGGAACAUUGCCCAAUUGGGAAAAGCUUAUUUGAAAUGUAUAUGUAUAUUUAUACACGGAAUUACAUAUAUUCUAAGUUGGUCGUAUGAAUCACACUUUGCUCUUUUCAUACUUAUGGCAUUUUCAUAAUUAAUGCUUUCAGAUUCCUUAGUGUUACAUUAUUCUCUUACCUCUUCCUUUUGUAUUUCCUUCAUCUCCCCCCCAAAGAGUUCCCCAUUCCCCAUUUUCCUGAUUAGAUCACGUGUACCUUGCUGCUCUCCAGUCUUGCCCUGUUAUGCCCUGUUUCUGAAAUGGCCCCUUCUUAUUUUCUUAUAGUUAUUCUGGGAUAUGUGUGCACAUCUGGGGAUUUGGAGCUAGGAGCCCCUGAUGAGAGAGAACAUGUUACAUUUAUCUUUCUGGGUCUGGGUCACCUUAUUCAAUAGGAUCUUUUCUAGUGCCAUCCUGUAUCUUCAGAGUUCAUAGUUUCAUUUUUUUUUAUAGCUGAAUAGUUUUUCAUACUGUAUAUUGGAUGCAAAAAAGAAAUAAAAAGGAAAGGACAUGACUGCUCCUAGGUAUGGUGGAGGAGAAAGUUUAUUGUAGAUAUGUAGGAGAGUGUAGCCAGAGACAGACACAUCUGGGAGAGUCCAGAGUGAACAUGACCCUGAAUUAUGCGGAGAGAGAGGGAAGGGAAGGGGGAGAGGGAGACCAAGUACAGUAGCCAGGAGGCCAAAGGUACAAAAGGAGAAAAGAGGGGUGGGUAACCAAAAUGUAUAAAUUAUAUAGGGAAGAGACUAGAAAGUUCAAGGUGAAGGGUGGGGCAUGCUGGCCAUACCCUAACAGGUAGGGCCUGAGUGAUGCUGGGAGAAGCUGGUGGCCAAGGCCUGCUUCGAUAUGUUACAUAAGCCCUCAGAUGCUUGUCCUGGCUUUGACACUUAACAUAUAUGUACUACAUUUCAAUGAUCUUUUCAUUGCUUAAAGGACAUUGAGGCCGUCUGUUUCCUAGCUACUAUGAAUAGAGCAGCAAUGAGCACAGCAGAGCAAGUGUCUGUGUGUUUCUCAUGCAGAUUGUGCUUACUUUGGGGAAGGGCUUUUUCUCUUUUUACUAUGAUUUUGUCUGGUCUACACCAGACUUGGGAUUCUUCUCCCUCAUGGAUGCCUGUAGUUGGACGGUCUGGUUUUCAUGAUGUCCCACGUUUCCUGCAUGUUCCUUUCCUGUGUUUAGUUUUUUCCACAUCUUGCCGAUUGGCUCUGGAUCCACAGUGUUGAGUCUUGAUGCUCUGUCUUCUUCAUGGUCCUUUCCACUCGUAAGCCUCCCUUUUGGGUUUUCCAGUUGGGCCCCUGGAGUUUUCGACUCCAUCGUCAUUUCAGCUCGAGUUCCUCUUCAGUGCUUCUACCGCCUUAUUGAAUUCCACUCUUGAGCUCCGGGCUGUUGUGGUUUCUGCCAUCCUUCUGCUUGCACUGUCCUGGGGACCCCUCGGCUUCACUUUCCUACGUUCUUUCCUCUCACUUUCAUUGAGCUCUUUCUUUGUGUCUUCUUUAAACUCCUUGAAUUCUCUGAUGAAGUCCGUUUGUUCUCUUAAAUUCUGUGUUCUGGGGUUCAUCUAGGAAACUCAAUGGCAGACAUUUCUACAGAUCUGGUAGGCUUUGGAGAGAAGAUACUGCCUUGGUCUUUCAUAUUGUUGGUAGUUUUUGCAAUGAGAUCUGGGCAUGCAGGCUUCCUUUAAAAAUUCUGAGUCUGGUGUGGACAGACCAGGUUGAGGCAGAGGAGAAGAUGUGUGGGAGGCUUGGGUUUAAAGUUUGGGAAUAGCUGGGAUGAAUGAAGUCAGGUGGACAGAGGGAACUGAGUUGGUGUACAGGAAACACACUGUGGUCCAGGUCUGGAGGGCAGGGUACGUUUGGUUGACUGGGGCACCGAGUAGUGUUCAGGAAGAAUCCUGUGAUUGACUGUGGUGCAGGCACGGGUGCCCAGACGAGUUUGGUGCACUAGAUGAUGUACUGGUCCAGGUCUGGGGAGUAGGCAUGGAAGGGAGGUCAGGGAGACUCAGGCUAGACCCUGAAGGAGGAGGAGGAGGAAGGGGAGGUCUGGCUUUGGAGAGCAGUUGGAUUCAUCACAGAAAGGACCUGUGGUACUUGUGUGUUUUCUUAUUUGAGGAAAUACUGUUGCACAGUCAAUAGAACAGGGAGACAACUAUCACCGUGGCUUCUUAGAACUGGUUAAACCUCCCAGGGUCAUAUAGGAUCACAGGAUUGGCAUAAAAAGUAUAUUUUUAAAAUUUAUCAUGGCUAGACUCAAGACACAGUGAAAUAAUUAUAGUUAACAUGGACGGAGCAUUCAUGGCCUUCUCCCUAACAUGUUAUCUUCCCUGAAUUAUCAUUACCACUACAAUAUAGUAAUAGUAGAACUUCCCCAUUUCUGACCUAAGAACUAGGAGGUGCAGAGAGGAACUUUAUCAAGGCCUAUGCCUACAGAGCUGAAGCUAUGUCUCAGUGGUUAAGAGCACUGGCUACUCUUCCAGAGGAGUGGGGUUCAGUUCCCAGCACUCAUAUCAUGGCUUUCUGAGGAUCCAACACAUUCUUCUGCCCUCCUCCUUGUUCUACACCCAGAUGUGAUGUACAGCCAUGUAUGCUGGCAAAACACCCACACACAUAUGACAAAUACAAUAAAAAAAAAUCACAUACUUAUAGAGCUAGGGUUUAACAUCAGUUUGGCUCACAGUUUGUGUUAUUUACUGCUGUAUUAUUGUGACCAAAAUAUCUGACUUGUGGCUUCAGGGACCAAAAUAUCUGACUUGUGGCUUCAGGGACCAAAAUAUCUGACUUCUGGCUCCUGGUUUCGGAGCAUCUCAGUGUGUUCUUGCAGGGAAGGCAAGUUAAUGAGUAGCAGAGAGUUACACAGAGGCUGCUCAAAUCACACAGGAACAGGAAGUGGAGCCCAGUCUGUCCUCAAACUCUUGAUUUCCUGCCUCAGCCUUCCAAGUACUGGGAUUAUAGGGGUAUAGCUUUCUGCUUGUCAUCCUUUAUGAUUUACAAGAUGGAGACCAUGAGGAGCUUUGGCUGUUUGUGUAAACAACAAACCAUUGGAACCUAAGAAUGACCCGGUGCAUCUUCACUGGUCAAAUAAUUCAGGCCCUCAGUGGUCUGUGGCCUUGUUUUAUGUGCCGGUCCACAGGAAGGGAUUAGGACGGUGGGUCAGAUGGGCAGUGGUUGGCGAUGAAACAAGGCCACACCAGCAAGGGGCUGAAUUGUUUGACCAGUAAAGAUGUACAUUUGAACAUGCACAUAAAAGUACAUCUAUGAACACACACAUGCACACAUACAUAUGAACUGCCAGUACUUGGGAGGCAGAGUGUGCAGAUCUCUGAGAGUUUGAGGCCAGCCUGGUUUUAGAUAUUGAGUUCCAGGACAGCUGGGGCUACAUAGUGAAACCCUGUCUCAAAUCAACAACAGCAACAACAGCAACAACAACAACUUUGAUAACAACUACAACUACUACUACUAUUACUAUAACUACUACUACAACAACUACCUUUACAACAACAACUACAAGAGAAACAACAACUACACUACAACAAUUACAACAACCACAACCACAACCAUAACCACCACCAUGACAACAACAGCAGCAGCAACAACAGCAAGCAUUACUAUUACUACUAUAAAAGAGGUAAAAGGACUGAGCUCUGAGCUCCUCCACUGGGGAGGAAAGAACUGGCCUAAGGAACUAAGGAGGAGGAACCAAGGUAGCAGAGACAGGGCCGUGGGGUUUCAGAUGCCAACUAAACAAAUUAGUUACAGGAAGUGGUGAGGAAGUGUUAAAAGGGCUGAAUCACUAAAGAUAAGGACAGGGAACUGAAGGCUGCAGUAAAGCAAGUUGGCUUGGUGACUUCUGAAACUGUUUCGGGUUUCCUGUGUCCCAGACUGACCUUUGUAUCAGUGAUGUAGGCAAGGAUGACCUUGAACUUCUGAUUCUUCUGCCUUCAUCUCCAGAAAGCUGGGAUUAUUGGGGGCUCUGAACUGUGUAAGUGUGAAGAAUCCGGCAAGCAGGCAGUGCAUUUGUCUCCCUGCUGUUGACUGUGGCUGUGACGUAACCUGCUGGAGUUCCUACCUUGACUUUCAUGAAAUCAUGGGCAGUCACCUGGAGUUUUAAAGUAAAAUAAAGCCUCCCAAAGUC